rnacentral:rRNA from 1 species
GCACGUGGCCAAUCUACCCUCUGGAACGGCAUACCCUCGGGAAACUGAGGUUAAUUCCGUACACCGCUCUCAACCUGGAAUGGUGGGAGCUCGAAACGCUCCGGCGCCGGAGGAUGAGGCUGCGGCCGAUUAGGUUGACGGUGGGGUAAUGGCCCACCGUGCCGAUAAUCGGUCUGGGUCAUGAGAGUGAGAACCCAGAGACGGACUCUGAGACAAGAUUCCGGGCCCUACGGGGCGCAGCAGGCGCGAAACCUUUACACUGCACGCCAGUGCGAUAAGGGGACCCCAAGUGCGCAGGCAUAGUGCCUGCGCUUUUCUGGACUGUAGGGCGGUCCAGGAACAAGGGCUGGGCAAGACCGGUGCCAGCCGCCGCGGUAAUACCGGCAGCCCAAGUGAUGGCCGCUGUUAUUGGGCCUAAAGCGUCCGUAGCUGG